GAAGUGCGAAUGCUGACAUAAGUAACGAUAAAGCGGGUGAAAAGCCCGCUCGCCGGAAGACCAAGGGUUCCUGUCCAACGUUAAUCGGGGCAGGGUGAGUCGACCCCUAAGGCGAGGCCGAAAGGCGUAGUCGAUGGGAAACAGGUUAAUAUUCCUGUACUUGGUGUUACUGCGAAGGGGGGACGGAGAAGGCUAUGUUGGCCGGGCGACGGUUGUCCCGGUUUAAGCGUGUAGGCUGGUUUUCCAGGCAAAUCCGGAAAAUCAAGGCUGAGGCGUGAUGACGAGGCACUACGGUGCUGAAGCAACAAAUGCCCUGCUUCCAGGAAAAGCCUCUAAGCAUCAGGUAACAUCAAAUCGUACCCCAAACCGACACAGGUGGUCAGGUAGAGAAUACCAAGGCGCUUGAGAGAACUCGGGUGAAGGAACUAGGCAAAAUGGUGCCGUAACUUCGGGAGAAGGCACGC
rnacentral:rRNA from 2 species